CAUUCUCACUCCAAAGGCGUCAAAAACCGAAGCAUGGUCAAGCGCCCCUAGCGUCACUUUUAUGACGCCAAAUGUGCCUCUCGGCGUCGACUAUCGAAGCACUACGACCUUCAUUGCUUUCAGUGGGAAACUUUUGGCGUCAGAAUUCGACACGAGGACAUGAGAUGUUUAUCGCUAUGAAAUCACGUUCAAGAAGUCUCAUUCAGCACACAUCGCGCGAUACUUGCUAUCAGUUCCACAGUUUGGCUGAAAAGACGUAAAGGCAGUCAGCCCAGUGGUGUUUCUGGAGAGGGAUUCCUUCAGAAAUGGAGAAGACAGAAAGCUGCGGAGGCAGAUAUUUGCAGCAUGUUCGAGUGAGCAUGAUGACCACAAGUGUGUGUCAAACUUUUCAUGACCUGAUGACUGUGUUUCCCAAUCCUGAUCCUGGAGAACCCCAGCACUGCACGGUUUUGGCGUCUCUCUUAUCUGCCUUGGAGUCUUCACUGAUGAGCUGAUGAGUUGAAUCAGGUCUAAAAUAUCGAGCUCAACAGCUAUUUUAAGAGCCAACCCUCACAAACCUUCCUAAAACCUAAAAGAGCUAUUACUGAGUCUCAGCGAAUCUUGCCAUGAUCAGCUCUUCCCAGAAGAGAAGGAAGACCAAGGAAAUUAUUUGCUCAGGAUGAGAAAUGAAGACGGCCAUCUUGUGCUCAAACAAACAGAAGUCCUUUGAUGAUCUCAUCAGCCAAAUGAGGGGUUUUGACCAAGUGAUGCUCUUGAAAGGAGAGAAAGAAGAGGAUGUGGUAAAUUCUCUUCAGAGAAAAAGCUUCUCAAAAGGUCUUAAAGCAGCUUGAAGAAUGGUCUGGGAUGUUAGGACUGAGAGAUCCUCUGGCUGAGAACAAGCUACACCUCAUCAGUGCUGGACAUCAACCACAAACUGUUUCCAGACACGAGAGAAGAAGAACACGAUGGGGAGAUGAAACCAGUUUAGAUGUGAUGAUAAGGAAUCAUUAUUUUCUGGAACAGUAUCACAUGUCUUAUAUGUAUCACAUGAUCUGUAUCACAGUUGACUGGAUGGGACUGUGUGACUUUUAAGGACAUUUCAUCACUCAUCCGUGGGAACUGAUUUAUAUAUGAGGUUAAUGUAUUUUUGAUGAUAAUUAUUUUCAUUGAAUCUUAUUUGUCUUGAUGCUACUUUAUCAACUUUAUAGUCUAUGCUUCAAUAAAAUGAAAAUGGUGAA